rnacentral:rRNA from 1 species
UUGCUCUGAAUUUACAUCUUGUCAACUUCUCAUAAACUAAGCAGGGUCAAGCAUUGGUCAGUACUUGGGCGGGAGAUCUCAAGGGAAAACAAAAUC